UGUGUCCUCAGCUGCUCCAUGAUGUUAGCCUGGUGGUGAGUCGCUGUCGGGAGCUGGGAGAGGAGCUGCGGAAACUCAAAACCUGGGGCAGUCUGAGUUUGGACAUCCUGGACAUCUACUGUCUGCACUCAGAAAUUCACAUUACCUUCAGCAGUCUAAGGAGAUUCAGAAAGUUUGAUGUGGUCUUCUCUGUGAGCCUAACCAACCAACCUUAUGCACUUCAGCUGAAGAGUUUCAAAAACAUAAUCGGGAACACAACGUCUCAGAACAUUGAAGAAAUUGUUACUUCUUUCACUCCAGAACAGAAAUACCUGACAAGGAUUAUCAAAGACAUCCACAGCAGUUUACUCGGUUAAUGACCGGGGGAAAGGGAAAAAUCCUAAACACCCAAAUGUCAGCCUUAAAAUAUUGCAGCCGUACAAUACUAGCAAUUCCCUAUGUGUCCUCUAGAUGGUGCCCUUGAACUGACUGUAGUGUUGUAUCCGCUCUACUCAUUAUCCCAACUUAUCCCAACUUCAAGUCUUACCUUAAGCCUGUGCUUUUUAAAUAUAUAGAUGUACAUAUAGAGCUUGUGUUUAAGUGUUGAUUCUCUCUGUUUUGU